rnacentral:rRNA from 1 species
CUUAGACGGUAGGGUAUUGGCCUACCGUGGCGAUGACGGGUAACGGGGAAUUAGGGUUCGAUUCCGGAGAGGGAGCCUGAGAAACGGCUACCACAUCUAAGGAAGGCAGCAGGCGCGCAAAUUACCCAAUCCUAAUACAGGGAGGUAGUGACAAGAAAUAACAAUACAGGACUUUUUGGUUUUGUAAUUGGAAUGAGUUAAGUAUAAACCCCUUUACAAGUAUCAAUUGGAGGGCAAGUCUGGUGCCAGCAGCCGCGGUAAUUCCAGCUCCAAUAGCGUAUAUUAAAGUUGUUGCAGUUAAAAAGCUCGUAGUUGGAUUUCUGUUAAUAAUUUGUAUAAAAUAUUUUGAAUAUUUAUAUAACAUUAACAUAAUUCAUAUUACUAUAUUUUUUAGUAUAUGAAAUUUUACUUUGAGAAAAUUAGAGUGCUUAAAGCAGGCAUAUGCCUUGAAUACUCCAGCAUGGAAUAAUAUUAAAGAUUUUUAUCUUUUUUAUUGGUUCUAAGAUAAGAAUAAUGAUUAAUAGG